AGAGAGAUUAUCUCAUUUCUGCUUAGCUC
rnacentral:piRNA from 1 species